GAAUGCUUAUGUUUAUAGUCUGUGUCUUUAGGACAAAAUUUCUCUUGAACAUUCUGGUUUAAUGACUUGAGUCAUCUCAGUUACAUACAUAGUUGUAAAUGAUGUGUUAUGAACAGUACCUCAUUGUAUUGCUUGGCAUUGCAUGCUCCUGACCAGAUUCUCAGUGUUGCCAAACACUAACUGCAAAAAUCUGGGGAAAUAACAGAAAAAAACCAACCCAACCACAAAACUCCAAAAGAAUCAGCCUGAUGUCACUGAUGCCAAAUGACACAAAGGAAAAGUGCUGCAAGGCAGAUUCCUCACAUGCACAGGAACCUACAGAAGAUCUGAGGAUAUCCAAAGAGAAUGGGAGUGAUCACAACCCUACAGUGAAGUUCCUGGCUGCAGGAUUUCAAUGGAUGCAGCAAUGCAGGAAGCCAGACACACAAGAGUGCUGGAAUCAGUGCUGAGUCAGACUUCAUGUUGAUAGUCCAGACCUUUGCAUCCAUUCUGGGAGAUCUGCCAGUGUUUAGAAGCCAAAACCCGUGUCCACUCCAUAUGGAGAAGGAAGAAUGGCAUAGAAAUAAAUGGUGACCUCAGAAACUUUCUGGAUUCCUAAGCAGACUUUUCCUAAAAAGGGUAGUCUCUGGAUUUGAGUUAAUUUUUGGUUGGUUCAAAGCAUAGUAUAUUCUUGGUGUCAGUUUCCUGUCUCUUUCCACGUAUUUAUUUAGAGCAAAAAAUCACUGCUCUCAUUCAAUAGUUCAGUUAUGCAAGAUACUUUUCAUCUCACAUUAAAAUUUAUAUCUCAUUUGUUAUCCAGAAA